rnacentral:rRNA from 1 species
GAUGAACGCUAGCUACAGGCUUAACACAUGCAAGUCGAGGGGAGACGAUAGAGAAAGCUUGCUUUUUCUAGGCGUCGACCGGCGCACGGGUGAGUAACGCGUAUCCAACCUGCCCAUCACUUGGGGAUAACCUUGCGAAAGUAAGACUAAUACCCAAUGACGUCUCUAGAAGACAUCUGAAAGGGAUUAAAGAUUUAUCGGUGAUGGAUGGGGAUGCGUCUGAUUAGCUUGUUGGCGGGGUAACGGCCCACCAAGGCGACGAUCAGUAGGGGUGCUGAGAGGAAGGUCCCCCACAUUGGAACUGAGACACGGUCCAAACUCCUACGGGAGGCAGCAGUGAGGAAUAUUGGUCAAUGGACGAGAGUCUGAACCAGCCAAGUAGCGUGCAGGAUGACGGCCCUAUGGGUUGUAAACUGCUUUUAUAAGGGAAUAAAGUGAGAGUCGUGACUCUUUUUGCAUGUACCUUAUGAAUAAGGACCGGCUAAUUCCGUGCCAGCAGCCGCGGUAA